GCCAGGCAUCCCCCGAGGGGAGCGGGCACUCUCCGGCCCUUCAUUUCCUGACGGGAUUCUACAGGGGGGAGCCUCGGUUCUCUUGAGGAUCAGAGUCAAGAGCUGGGGCAUGAAGACCAGGCUCAGCCUUAGAGCAUCACUGGAGUCAGGGCCGGAAAUGGGAAUGGGAGGAAAGGCGGAAGAGUCAGAGACUGAGCAGGAAGUGGGGUCCCGGGCGAAGGGAUAUGACAGCUCUGGGAUGAGCCUGAACCAUUAUCCCCAUGUGGAAAGCCCCAGAGCCAUAGGGAUAUUCUGUCUCUGCUGACAAGCGGGGGUCGGGGCUGCAGAAUUGGUGGGAGAGGACUAGGCACUCAUGAGGGUGCUCAAGCUGAAAGAUCUCUUGAAUCAAGAGCCCUCAGUUCAAGACCUGCCUCUGACCUGAAAUUAGUUACUUAACCUUGCUGUCUCAUCUGAAAAACAAGCAGGCCCUUAAUAAAUGUUUGUGAGAGAAUUUGAACUCAGGCCUUUCUGACUCCAAGACCAGUGCCCAAUUCACUGAGGCUACUCUCUCUACCAUGGCCACAGUCACACAGAAAAACAUCUCUUACCAUGAAGGAAAGAAGAAAAAAGGUUAGUAAAAUCAAUCAAUCCAAAUUCAGCACUUUCUAUUACACCCACUUUCUCCAUCUCAUCAGAUAUUUACUAAACUCCUCUAGGGGUUCAAUUGCCCAGCCCUGGUCUAUGUAUAGUGGAGAAUACAAACAAGUAUGACAUUUCCUACCCUCAGGGAGUUUACCAUCUAGUUGAGACACAUCACACACACACACACAUCCAAACACAAAUCCUCAGACACACACACACACACACACACACACACACACACACACCAAGGGGACACAAUUAAGAAAAACAAGGCAAAAGCCAUCACAAGGGAGCAUGUGGUAAAUAACAAAUAAAUGGUCCAGAGAAUAAAUUAAGAACAGAGGGAAAUCACUGUGGGCUAGGUUGGUUAUGGAAUGCUUCAGUUCCACAAAUAUUUAUAAGAGAAACUGCUUAAAUUGUACAGGGCAACAAGUUAAAUAACUUAAAUUAAUCAAAUGGGAGGAAGAGUAGACAGAAGACAAAAUAAAACAGGAUAAGAACAUCAUGAGAGGAGACAAGCAACAAGCUGGGUGGGGGGAGUGGCAGAUGAGUUGGAUCAUUUACAACAGGGGAGGUCAGGGGAAGGCUGACAUUUGAGAUGUACCUUGAAGGAUGGAGAGUUGUGAUUGGCAGAGGUGCAGGAGAGCAGGUAAAGGAGGGAGAGACACCAAGUCUUAGGAAGUGUGAGCAAAAUUGGGAAGGAAUGCUUACAUGUUUGCUAGACAACUUGUGAUAGUCAAUCAGUUCAUUAAACAUUUAUUAAGCACCUCCUGUGUGCCAGACAUUGGGCUAUGUGCUGGGGACAUAAAGAGAAAUAGAAGAGUCCUGCUCUAAAGGAGCUCACAAUAUGAUGGGGGAUGUACGCAUCAUAUACACAACUGUGUACAAACAAACUGGAUAAAGGAUAACUUGGAAAUAAUAAAUAGAGGGUAGGCACUAGAAUUAAGAGGGACUGAGAAAGGCUUCCCGAGGAGAUAGGAUCUUAGCUGGGACUUGAAGGAAGACAGGAAACAGGGAUGAGGACAGAGAGUUUUUCAGGUAAGAGGGAACAGUAAAAAUAUCCAAAAUGGGAGUGUCAGGUCUUGUUCAAGGAAUGGCAAGGAGACAGUAGAUCUGAGAGUGUAAGGUGUUAAGAAGACUGGAAAGGUGGACAGACUGGAAGGGGACAGGUGUUGAGGGCCUUUGGAAGCCCUCAAAAAUACAGGGGACUUAAUAUUUGAUCCUGGGGGUAAUAGGGAGCCACUGAAAUUUAUUAUUUAAAAAACAUUUUUUAAACCCUUACCUUCUACCUUAGAAUCAGUACUAUGUACUGGUCCCAAGGCAGAAGAGUGGUAAGGAUUAGGCAAUGAGGGUUAAGAGAGGGUGACACAGCUGGACACUUGUCUGAGGUCAGAUUUGAACCUAGGACUUCCAUCUCUAGGCUUGGCUCUCAAUCUACUGAGCUACCUAGCUGCCCCCUAGAAUUUAACUGAAUAGAAAAUGACAUAGUAAUAUCCUGAGCUUUAGGAAUAGAAAUUUAAGCAGCUUUGUGGAGGAUGGACUGGAAAGGAGAGAGAUUUGUAGUAGGAAGACCAGGCAGGAGGCUAUUGCAGUUGUAACAGUGACUACCUUGACCUCCACUGCCUGAAGGCUAGCUGUGUUACAUUUUACCUCUUUCCCUGGUCACUCAGUAUACAAAAGGAUUUUGGGAGGUGUCUAUUCGGUCGCUGAUUCAAGCCCCCACUGAUAGUAUUAAAAUAAUUUUGUGGGGGUCUUCUGUUCCCCAGUUCCAUUUAACCUCUUAGAAUCAGAUUAGCUUUUACAAAAGAAUAUUUACUUCAAAGCUGUAAAAAGAACAAAAAAUAUAAACAUCUUCCCAAAGCAUGAUAGGCAUAAUCUCCUCUUUUAUCCCUCAGUCUCUGGGGAGAAUAGGGGGAUUACAUUCACAAUUUAACUCAGUUCUUACAUAGAUAGUAUAAUCUCACCAAGUUCUUAGUCCAAAGACUCAAGUUCUGGGCACCCUGACUUUUCAUGAUUUCCCUGAUGGCUGCCAUCAACAUCUGGCCUAGAUUCUUACCCCUAAGGUUACUCAAGCUCAAGCUCCUGUGUCGAGGGAUUCCACUGCCUGCACCUAGAACUGAAAAGACAACCCAAAGCCUCUUUCUCAAGGCCACAGGGGCUUACGGUAUGACUCUUCUCCCACAUUGUAUCAGCAUAUGGUGCCCACACUUUGGACAAACAGAACUUUCAUCCCCUGGAAACUACCAAAAAAGAGUAAGUUUGUCCCAGACUAAUAGUUCCAAAGAAGCAGCUUCUGGCUACACAGCCAAUGGAAGCAGUAUGUUCCUACCCCUGUGGUAGAGGGACACAGAAUAUCUUCUCCCAGAAACAGUUUCCUAGAAUCUCCCACAUGUGCCUCCAUGUCAAGUGAUCUGGGCAUGGUGGAGUAAAGUGCUUUGAGAUGAUAGACUGAGCAAAAGGUAAUGAGGCAGGUCCACAUACAGGAGGUCCUGGGUUCAAAUUUUAUUUCAGAUACUUCCCAGCUGUAUGACCCUGGGCACGUCACUUAACCUCCACUGCCUGGCCCUUCCUGCUCUUCUGUCUUAGAAUCAAUCGAAAGUAUUGAUUCUAAGAUGGAAGGUAACGGUUUAAAAAAAGGUAAUGAGGGUCUGCACUAAAGUAGCAAUAGUGUCAGAGGAGAGAAGGGGGUACAUAUGAAAGAUGUCAUGCAGGUAUAUUCAAUAGGAUGUGCCAAUAGAUUGGAUAUAGGAAGUGACAGGGCAUGAGGAGUCAUGGAUAAAACAUAUGUUGGGGAGCCUGGGUGAUUGGGAAGAUGGUGGUAUCAUUGAAAAUAAUAGAGAAAUUGGGAAGAGAGGACAGUUUGGGAUAAAGAGAGUGAGUUCAGUUUUAGACAUAUUGAAUUUAAGAUGUCAGCAGAGAUCCAGUAUAAGAUGUCCAAUAGGCAACUGGAGAUGCAAGACUGGAAGUAAGGAAAGAGUUUAGGGAUGGAUAAGUAGAUCUGAAAAUCAUCCAAAUAUGGAGGAUAAUUGAAUCCAGGAAGAUGGAUGAUAGCGAUCUUGUAUAUAUGAUUGAAUAUAUAGGGAGAAAAAGUCUUGAUAUAGAGCUUUGGGGAACACCAAAGUUGAAAGAAUGAAAAUAGAGGAAAUUUGAGGAAGUCUGAAAUGUUUGGAAGAACUGUGUGAGAUAAUGAAUCAAUUGGAAUGGUUUUAUAGAAGUGACGGUCCAGUUAAAAUUUUGCAACAUAAAUUUGUAGUGGACCCUCUCAGCAUGGUUUUGUGACUUGCUUUGGUUUCACUCAACAGCAUGAAGGUGGUAGGAGAAAUCCAGAUUUGAGACUCGAGAGGGAAUAUUUGGUAAGGUAAGAUGACAAGGAAUUCAAGAGAAAAAGCCUAGAAUUGAAAUGGUUAACAAGGGGUCAAGAUGGGAAGGGAAGAGAAUUGAGCCAUUUCAGGAGUAAUGGCCUGGGAAAGAACUGAAGGGUCAAGGGAUUGCAUGUCCCAAUGAUGACAAAGAAUACAUUUUAGAUUAGCAAGGUAGAGGUGGAAUUAGGAUAAGAUAAAGGAAUAUUAGAAUUCCUGAACUCUGGAAGAACACUUGAAAGUGAUAGCAAGAUCAGAGAUAUGAUCAUCUCUGUGGCUGAGGUGGCUGAGAAGUAGUGUUGUUAGGUCCUUUCAGUUUGUGCCCAACUCUUGGAGAACUCAUUUUGGGAUUUUCUUGGCAAAGAGACUGGAGUGAUUUGCCAUUUCCUUUUCCAGCUUAUUUUACAGAUGAGGAAACUGAGGCAAACAGGGUUAAACGACUUCCUCAGUAUCACAUAGCUAGGAAGUAUCUGAGUUCAGAGUAGAACUCACAAAGGUUCAUUUUCCUGAUUCCAAGCCCAAGGCUCUAUUCACUUUGCCACUUAGCUGCCCCAGGAUGGAGGUGUAGGUCCUGGGAAAUUAGAAAGCGAGGAACUGGAUGGUUAGGGUGUUUGUGGGAUAGGCAAUAUGUAUGUUCAAGUUCCCUAGUAUGAGAGCAGGAAUUGGAGAAGAGAUAAAGACUCUGAGUCAUGCACUGACCUCAAUCAUGAAGGAGAAUCUGUUAGAGGUUGAUAGAUAACAGCUACCAGAAUAUUAGUUGGGUGAUAAAUAUGGAUUGAAUGAACCUCAAAGGAGAGAGUACUUGGUGAUGGUAGGAGUUAGAAAGCCUGGAAAUGGGGAACAAAGAACAUUCUAAUUCCCCUACCAUGAACAAGGAGUCAGAAGGUAGGACUAAAAGUGAAGUCAGUUGUGGAAAGGGUGGACAGGGAAGCAUCAUCAUAAGGGACCCAUGUCUUAGACCAAGAUGAUAGAAGUUUGGGGAAUACUUCCUUUACUUUUUUGGGGGUUUAGGGGUGGGUAGAGUAGAUAACAAGCGAUUAUACAGGAAUACAAGGGGAGCACACAAACUAUAAUCAUAGAAAAUACUCUUCCUGAACUUUUAUAGAAUUUACAAUCUAGGAGGGACUUUUAAGAUUUAACUCCCUUGUUUUAAAAAUGACAAAGCUAAGUUUCAGAGGAAAAAUUAUUUGCCCAAAGUUAUACAGGUAAUAAAUUACAGAGUCAAAGUUCAAACUCUGGUCUUCUUCAAAAAAUUUAGAAAUAGCAUCUUGAGUUGGGUUCUAGAACUAAGAAAGAAUCAUGAGAGCCAAGAUAGAUCUAAGGAACCUUAUUUAAAGACUGUUGGAAGCAGCUAAGAAGCACAGUGGACAGAGUGCCAGGCCUGGAGUUGGGAGGACCUGGAUUCAAAUCUAGAUUCAGAUAUUUACUAGCUGCAGGACCCUAGGUAAGUCACAAAACCCUUGCUAUUCUUCUGCCUAAGAAUCACUUAGUAUCACUUCUAGGGAUUUAAAAGAUUAAAAAGAUUGUUAGGAAGCUUAGAUAUCCCCCAAUCUGGGACUGUUUAUAUACACUAAUUGCCUUACCACUGGUGUAAUUCUGUUUUCCCAUAUGAAGAAGAUCCAAAGAAGGGAAAGAGAGAAUAUAAGCUAGAAUCAGGCAGACAGUUAUCUUGGCUAUGACAAAAAAAAAAAGUGGGGAAGGGGAAGGUAACAGGGGAUCAGCUAUGGCAGCUCUCUGAUUCAAAGGAGCCAAGCAGUCUCAGGAACCAAGAAAGUGGAGAAAACCAAGACCAUCAGAUUGGGCCAGAAGUAUUUUCCAAAGGUCUUAGAGUCCAGAUGUAUUUGAACCCUAUACAUUUGGCAGUAGGGACUCAUGGUAGGUAGACUCAGACAUAACACAAUUAAAAUCCUCCAUCAACCUUCAGUCUCAAAGCAAAGUCCUCCUCUUGCCCUGAUAUUCAUCUUCUUUCCCUACUCACUAUGGAGAUACACUGGCCUGUACUCCAGAGCUUAGUAUGCCCUUGGAUAAAUCAAUUAACUUCCCCCUAAUUUUCAUUUUCCCCACCUUCCAAAACAAUUGAGGCUCACAAGGAUAAGUGCUGAAAGUCAGCUCAACCUUCUUACCCAAGGUCAGAAAUGGUGGCCAUCUUUGUAUCUAGAUCAUAAACGUGGAGAUUGUAGAUGUCUUAGAGAUCAAUCUCCUCGUUUUAUGGAUGGGGAAACUGAGGCCCAGAGAGGUUAAAUCUUUUACUUAGCCUCACACAAAUAAAAAGCAGAGUCCAGACUCAAAUAUAGGUCCUCUGACUCCAAAUCCAGUAAUCUUUCUCACAAAACUUUCCUGUUCCCUGCCCCUAUCUUGCCCCAGAAGCACAAAACUGGACCCAGCCCUCCAGGGCCAGGUAGCAGCUGGGUCCUGUCCCUCUCUUUCAUGGCCUCAUGCCAGCCAUGCCCUGACACUCCCCUUUACGAGUUCUGCUGUUUGUCUGACAUCUCCCAGAUGUCAUCAUAAAGUCAUUUCCCAAUGCAGGUUGCACAUGGAGCAGAUAACUAGCAGCCCCUGGCAAUCCUUCCUGGGCAAAGUCAGGAAAGACCAGGAGUGUUUCUUCCCAACCCACCACUCCCCUUUCCAGAGAACUCUGACCCUUCCUGGACUCCUGGGCCCAUUGACAGCCAGCCAGGGCCAAAAAGGGAUAUCAGCUAUAAGCAGGUAUCAGCUUCAAGGCAGGUAACACUUUCUUUUCCUUCCUCUGAGGUCCUUAAAAGCAGGCAAGAUUGGAGAAAGAGAUUUCCUCAGGUAACCUCACUGGAGCCCUUGUCAAUUAACUUAUUAUGGGGCUGAACCCUUUGUACUAGUCAUUCAGUUUAAGAAAGAUUAUAAGGAGCUCCCAUUGGUCAUAGGGCUAGAUAGCUGGUGAGGCGAUUGUACUUUCUAUCCCUGGACCUUUUCCUUUACCUAACAGCCUCUCCCUUUCACAUACUGAAUUCCUCUCAUCCAACUCCUCCAAGGAGUCUUUCCUGAUGCCCUGUCAAUAAUUACCUUCUCCCUUGGACUCCACAUUGCACUUAAAAAACAAAAACAAAAAACCUACCUUCUGUACCAGUAACAACUCUAAGACAGGAAAAGGGCUAGGCAAAUGGAGCUAAGCAUCUGUGCCCAAAUCUUGCUUUUGACACCUAAUGAGUAUAACCUUGGGCAAUUCACUUAAGCUGUCAAUGCCUUCGACAGUUUUCUAAGACUAUAAACUGCUGAGGAGUCACUGGCUUGCAAGGGUAAAUAGUCUCCUCAUCUGGAAGUUCUCUAUACUAAUGAAUAAUAACAACAACAAUAAUAGUAAGCCCUUAUAUAGCAUUUUAAAUGUUUAUGUCAUUAUUAAUAGAUAAUAGAGAAUUUACUACAUGCCAGGAAUGUGCCAAAUGCUUUACAAUUAUUAAUUCACUUGACCCUCACAAUGACUGAGAGGUAGAGGCCCAUUUUUCAAAUAAAGAAACUGAGGAGAAGGAAGAGAAAAGGAAGGAGGAAAAGAAGGAAGAGGAGGAGGAAGAGGAGAAAGAAAGGUAGAAAGGUAGGAAGGAAGAAAGGAAGGAAGGAAGGAAGGAAGGAAGGAAGGAAGGAAGGAAGGAAGGAAACAAGGAAAGAA